CCCAUUAGCUUGUUGGUGAGGUAACGCUCACCAAGCAACGAUGGGUAGGGGGCCUGAGAGGGUGGUCCCCCACACUGGAACUGAGACACGGUCCAGACACCUACGGGUGGCAGCAGUCGAGAAUCAUUCACAAUGGAGGCAACUCUGAUGGUGCAACGCCGCGUGGAGGAUGACGGUCCUAGGAUUGUAAACUCCUGUCAUUGGGGAGUAAGACUUAUGCGUUAAGAGCGUGUAAGUUUGAUAGUACCCAAAGAGGGGGGGAAGG
rnacentral:rRNA from 1 species